UACGUAGGGCGCAAGCGUUGUCCGGAAUAUUGGGCGUAAAGAGCUCGUAGGCGGCCUGUUGCGUCCGCUGUGAAAUCCCGGGGCUCAACCCCGGGCCUGCAGUGGAUACGGGCUGGCUAGAGGCAGGCAGGGGAGAACGGAAUUCCUGGUGUAGCGGUGAAAUGCGCAGAGUAUCAGGAGGAACACCGGUGGCGAAGGCGGUUCUCUGGGCCUGUACUGACGCUGAGGAGCGAAAGCGUGGGGAGCGAACAGG
rnacentral:rRNA from 1 species